CCCUUAGAUGUUCUGGGCCGCACGCGUGCUACACUGAGUGGAUCAGCGGGUCAGGUUGCGCGAAAGCGUUUCCUAAUCUUUAAAUCCGCUCGUGAUGGGGAUUGACGGUUGCAAUUUUCUGUCAUGAACGAGGACUACCUUGUAAGCGCGGGUCAUCAUCCCGCGCUGAAUACGUCCCUGCCCUUUGUACACACCGCCCGUCGCUCCUACCGAUUGGAUGAUCCGGUGAGCUAUUCGGACUUUCGCAUUGUCGAUUUUCGGCUUUACGAGGGAAAGUCUCGCGAACCUUAUCAUCUAGAGGAAGGAGAAGUCGUAACA
rnacentral:rRNA from 1 species